rnacentral:rRNA from 1 species
UACGGAGGGAGCUAGCGUUGUUCGGAAUUACUGGGCGUAAAGCGCACGUAGGCGGCUUUCUAAGUCAGGGGUGAAAUCCCGGGGCUCAACCCCGGAACUGCCCUUGAAACUGGAUAGCUAGAAUCCUGGAGAGGCGAGUGGAAUUCCGAGUGUAGAGGUGAAAUUCGUAGAUAUUCGGAAGAACACCAGUGGCGAAGGCGGCUCACUGGCCCGAUACUGACGCUGAGGCUCGAAAGCGUGGGGAGCAAACAGGG